rnacentral:rRNA from 1 species
CCUACGGGAGGCAGCAGUGGGGAAUAUUGGACAAUGGGGGCAACCCUGAUCCAGCCAUGCCGCGUGUGUGAAGAAGGCCCUCGGGUUGUAAAGCACUUUCAGUGAGGAAGAACGCCUGGUGGUUAAUACCCAUCAGGAAAGACAUCACUCACAGAAGAAGCACCGGCUAACUCCGUGCCAGCAGCCGCGGUAAUACGGAGGGUGCGAGCGUUAAUCGGAAUUACUGGGCGUAAAGCGCGCGUAGGUGGCUUGAUAAGCCGGUUGUGAAAGCCCCGGGCUCAACCUGGGAACGGCAUCCGGAACUGUCAAGCUAGAGUGCAGGAGAGGAAGGUAGAAUUCCCGGUGUAGCGGUGAAAUGCGUAGAGAUCGGGAGGAAUACCAGUGGCGAAGGCGGCCUUCUGGAUUGACACUGACACUGAGGUGCGAAAGCGUGGGUAGCAAACAGGAUUAGAUACCCCGGUAGUC